rnacentral:rRNA from 1 species
CUGCUGCCUCCCGUAGGAGUUUGGGCCGUGUCUCAGUCCCAAUGUGGCCGAUCAACCUCUCAGUUCGGCUACGCAUCAUUGCCUUGGUAAGCCUUUACCCCACCAACUAGCUAAUGCGCCGCGGGCCCAUCCAAAAGCGGUAGCAUAGCCACCUUUUACAUAGUUACCAUGCGGUAACUAUGGUUAUGCGGUAUUAGCACCUGUUUCCAAGUGUUAUCCCCCUCUUUUGGGCAGGUUGCCCACGUGUUACUCACCCGUUCGCCA